UACGUAGGGUGCGAGCGUUGUCCGGAAUUAUUGGGCGUAAAGGGUGCGUAGGCGGCGCGGUAAGUCGGGUGUGAAAUCUCGGAGCUUAACUCCGAAACUGCAUUCGAUACUGCCGUGCUUGAGGACUGGAGAGGAGACUGGAAUUUACGGUGUAGCGGUGAAAUGCGUAGAGAUCGUAAGGAAGACCAGUGGCGAAGGCGAGUUUCUGGACA
rnacentral:rRNA from 1 species